AAAUUCUCUAUCCAUUAGGAUUCAUUUUGGCUUCAAAUGACAGAAAAUCCAAAAUAACAGUGAAGUUUAGUCCAGCUACUGUGGGACUCCUAAACUCUGUUAUUUUGUUGCUCUGCCAUCCUCAGCAAGAGGUUCCCACCUCAUGACACAAAAUGGCUGGGGAGUCUUCAGCCAUCACCUUUUUAUUUUAGCAAGUAAGAAAAAAGGCACAAAUUCUUCUUCUAAAGAUGAUAUCCAGAAGUUACGAAUAUCACUUUUGCAUCCACCCUGUGGUAGACAGACUCAAAGAUGGUUCUCAAAUAUCCCAAAUACCUUUCUGUAAUCCUGUCCCCUGUAGUGUGGGCAGGACCUGUGAUUGGUUUCUAACAAAGGAUCUGCUAAAGGUGAUGAGAUGUGACAAUUCUCUCCCUUGCUGGCUUAGAUGACCUUAGCUGACAUAUAUGAAGAAGCCCAGGUAACAAGGAACCAAGCAUAGCUUCUAGUCAGCAUCUAGCAAAGGUCAGAGACCCUCAAUCUGACAGUUCACAAGGAACUGAAUCCUGCCAACAACCAUCUGAGCUUGAAAGUGGAUUCUUCCCCAGUCCAACCUCAGAUGAGACCCCAGACCUAACUGCCACCUUGAUUGCAGCUUUAAGACAGAGGCUGAAGCAGAGAAUAGUUAUGUAAGUCCAGAAUCUUGACCCACAGAAGUGGAGAUAAUGAAUAGGUUUUGUUUAAGCUGCUAUUGUGAUAAUAUUAUUACUAGAUACGAAUACACUCUUCAUUCACCAAUACUGAUUCACAUCGCUACACAUAGCUGCAAAGGAAGCUGGAAAGUGUAGUCUUAAUUCAUUGGCUAUAUGUAAGCUAAACAUCCAAAAUUCUACUGCCAAGGAGAAGAGAAGAAUGGAUACUGGGCCCCAGCCAGGGAUCUGUGCUCCAGCAGACUAAGCAAAUAACCAGGAGAAAAAUAAGAAAUGUUAUCAGAGGGCUAAGCGCAAUAGAAUAUUUCAA
rnacentral:lncRNA from 10 species